UAUAUUUCAUGAUGAUCCAAACCAAUGCAUAGUUCAACCGAAUACCAUUGAGGAAACAACCUAACAUCUUUCGCUCCUAUCUGAUCUAAAUCUU
rnacentral:snoRNA from 1 species